CUAACACAUGCAAGUCGAACGGUAACAGAACUAGCUUGCUAGUUGCUGACGAGUGGCGGACGGGUGAGUAAUAUAUAGGGAUCUACCUAAUAGUGGGGGACAACGUGUGGAAACGCACGCUAAUACCGCAUACGCUCUACGGAGGAAAGUGGGGGAUCUUCGGACCUCAUGCUAUUAGAUGAACCUAUAUCGGAUUAGCUUGUUGGUGAGGUAAUGGCUCACCAAGGCGACGAUCCGUAGCUGGUUUGAGAGAAUGAUCAGCCACACUGGGACUGAGACACGGCCCAGACUCCUACGGGAGGCAGCAGUGGGGAAUAUUGCACAAUGGACGAAAGUCUGAUGCAGCAAUGCCGCGUGUGUGAAGAAGGCCUUCGGGUUGUAAAGCACUUUCAGAUGUGAGGAAAAGCAGUCUAUUAAUACUAGAUUGCCGUGACGUUAACAUCAGAAGAAGGACCGGCUAACUCCGUGCCAGCAGCCGCGGUAAUACGGAGGGUCCAAGCGUUAAUCGGAAUUACUGGGCGUAAAGCGCGCGUAGGCGGAUAUUUAAGUCAGAUGUGAAAUCCCUGGGCUCAACCUAGGAACUGCAUUUGAAACUGGAUAUCUAGAGUAUGGUAGAGGUGAGUGGAAUUUCAGGUGUAGCGGUGAAAUGCGUAGAGAUCUGAAGGAACAUCAGUGGCGAAGGCGACUCACUGGGCCAUUACUGACGCUGAGGUGCGAAAGCGUGGGUAGCAAACAGGAUUAGAUACCCUGGUAGUCCACGCCGUAAACGAUGUCUACUAGCCGUUGGGUUGUAAUGACUUAGUGGCGCAGCUAACGCAAUAAGUAGACCGCCUGGGGAGUACGGCCGCAAGGUUAAAACUCAAAUGAAUUGACGGGGGCCCGCACAAGCGGUGGAGCAUGUGGUUUAAUUCGAAGCAACGCGAAGAACCUUACCUACUCUUGACAUCCACAGAACAUUUGAGAGAUCAGAUGGUGCCUUCGGGAACUGUGAGACAGGUGCUGCAUGGCUGUCGUCAGCUCGUGUUGUGAAAUGUUGGGUUAAGUCCCGUAACGAGCGCAACCCUUGUCCUUAUUUGCCAGCACGUAAUGGUGGGAACUUUAAGGAGACUGCCGGUGACAAACCGGAGGAAGGUGGGGACGACGUCAAGUCAUCAUGGCCCUUACGAGUAGGGCUACACACGUGCUACAAUGGCGUAUACAGAGGGCUGCAAGCUAGCGAUAGUGAGCGAAUCCCACAAAGUACGUCGUAGUCCGGAUUGGAGUCUGCAACUCGACUCCAUGAAGUCGGAAUCGCUAGUAAUCGUGAAUCAGAAUGUCACGGUGAAUACGUUCCCGGGCCUUGUACACACCGCCCGUCACACCAUGGGAGUUGAUUGCACCAGAAGUGGAUAGCUUAACUUCGGGGGAG
rnacentral:rRNA from 1 species